UGGGGAAUUUUGGACAAUGGGCGAAAGCCUGAUCCAGCAAUGCCGCGUGUGUGAAGAAGGCCUUCGGGUUGUAAAGCACUUUUGUCCGGAAAGAAAUCCUUGGCUCUAAUACAGUCGGGGGAUGACGGUACCGGAAGAAUAAGCACCGGCUAACUACGUGCCAGCAGCCGCGGUAAUACGUAGGGUGCAAGCGUUAAUCGGAAUUACUGGGCGUAAAGCGUGCGCAGGCGGUUUGCUAAGACCGAUGUGAAAUCCCCGGGCUCAACCUGGGAACUGCAUUGGUGACUGGCAGGCUAGAGUAUGGCAGAGGGGGGUAGAAUUCCACGUGUAGCAGUGAAAUGCGUAGAGAUGUGGAGGAAUACCGAUGGCGAAGGCAGCCCCCUGGGCCAAUACUGACGCUCAUGCACGAAAGCGUGGGGAGCAAACAGGAUUAGAUACCCUGGUAGUCCACGCCCUAAACGGUGUCAACUAGUUGUUGGGGAUUCAUUUCCUUAGUAACGUAGCUAACGCGUGAAGUUGACCGCCUGGGGAGUACGGUCGCAAGAUUAAAACUCAAAGGAAUUGACGGGGUCAUAGCUGUUUCCU
rnacentral:rRNA from 1 species